rnacentral:lncRNA from 1 species
CCUGCCGUAUCCUCAUAAGGCUCUGAGUUAAAACCUUAGCCUCGGCAUGGUGCUCUACCCAACUUUUUCUUUUUUUAGUACUUGGAAAACAUUAACAUCUAUAAUAAAUCCAAAAAUCUCAUCCAUUAUUCUCUAAGAGACCAACAUACAAAAUUGACGAAACACAAAGUCACGGUCUCACAACAUGUAAUUAAACGGGCUACACGUGUUUCGCUCUAGUUAGAGCAUCAUCAGGCCUUUAGAAGCCAUCCACACACUUAUGCUGUAACUGAUGAUGCUCUAACUAGAGCGAAACACGUGUAGCCCGUUUAAUUACAUGUUGUGAGACCGUGACUUUGUGUUUUUCUUUGUUUUUCGUCAAUCUAUAGUAAAUACAGAGAGAAAAGGAAAGGUCUUAUUAUAUAUUAUAAUCAAAAAUAAAUUUCAUUGAAAUAUUACUAACUUAUUUCUGGGUAUCAUGCUUCAGAGAACCAUGAUGUGUUACAAUACGCUCCGCUCUUUAAUUUUAGUUUAGUAGAAAAUAUUCUCAAAACCUACAUAUAUCAAAAUUAUGUCAGGGUUCUAAAAUGAAUCGGUAAUAAAAUCGUAAACCAGAUCAACAUUGGAAAUAAUUUAAAAAAUUUGCUUUGGUCCGAUUGAAAAAAGUACUAUACUACCAAAUAGUUACAUCUAUUCGGUGGCAAUUAAGUUAUAAAAUUCUGUCUAUUAUUAAUUUUAAUAUUAUAAAGUGUAUCGUUUAACUCUUAGCCAUUAUUUACAAUUUAAUUGUUAAUUAUGCCUAAAAAAACGAAUUAACAACUUUGGUAUUGUUUGGAAGGUAAACAGCUUAAUUCCUUUAUGUAAAGCCACCUUAACAUGUUUUUGCAUAAUUCUGACUCACGUUGGUUGCUAUCGGGCUUAAGCCAUAAAAAUCGAAGAAAAAAAGAAGAAGACGAAGAGACUUUCACUUGUCAUUUCAAUGUCACUUUCCGGCCCACAAGCAUAAACGCCACCGGCAAAGGAAGUUCCCAAAAUCCAAACAAAUGUUGGAAGAUAUUUUUAAGUCUCCGCAUCUUUCUUACUUUCCUAUAUGAAAAUAAAAUUGGACUACACCAACAAAGGUUAUGUGUUUUGCACCAGAUUGAAAGCAUCAUAGCGAAAAACGGACCUGUCAUAUCUUUAAAUUUUCAAAAGAGCCCCUGGAAAAAGAAAAAUGAAUAUCUUUGCCAAGGAAUACUAAGGCAAAUGGAUAAAAAACCUUCAGUCCAUGCAUUGGUAUGUAAUUGUUGACAAAAAUACAAUGAAUGGCCUCACUACUUUUCCACAUGCAAAGAGGUUAACCAAGGAGAAAUUAAAGAAAUUGUCAAAAACCUAGGUAAAUACAGAAUUGCUUAGUACAAACAUAUCUAUACCCAGUACAAGUUCGUCCACUUCUUUGAAGCAUGGUACUUCAAACAGAGACACUGUCAACAAUUUUGUAGAAGGUGAGCCGGUGUCAAAUUCCAGUAAGGGACAUGAUUUCAAUUUUGCACCAACAGCAGAGCUAAAAUUCAUUUUGUCGCAAAAAACUGGAGGAUGUGAAAGAAAAAAGUGCAGAAGUUAAAAUUAAGUUUUUCAUAUGAGCACAUAAAAAAUAAUCAUGACAAAGUUCAGUUGUAUACAGGUUUGACAUGUAAUAAAUAUUUUUGUAAUCUUAUUAAGUUAAUUAGUUUUAUAUAUUAUUUAAAUAAUAAUUGUAUACUUCACAUAGAAUAUGCAGAAAUUAUAUGUACAUAUAUAAAUUUUUUUAUUAAGAUAAGGACAACAUGUAUUAAAGCAUAACACAUAAUAUAAACACACACGUAAUAUCUUCAUUAAAAAUUAUGAUUGUAUGUUAUGUAGCAUUAGAGCCUAAAAACAUUAAGGAGAAUAAAGGUCGUUAUUGGCAAA